rnacentral:rRNA from 1 species
CAGUCGCCGCGGUAAUACGAAGGGUGCAAGCGUUAAUCGGAAUUACUGGGCGUAAAGCGUGCGUAGGCGGUUUGUUAAGUCUGCUGUGAAAUCCCCGGGCUCAACCUGGGAAUGGCAGUGGAUACUGGCAAGCUAGAGUGUGUCAGAAGAUGGUGGAAUUCCCGGUGUAGCGGUGAAAUGCGUAGAGAUCGGGAGGAACAUCAGUGGCGAAGGCGGCCAUCUGGGACAACACUGACGCUGAGGCACGAAAGCGUGGGGAGCAAACAGGAUUAGAUACCCGCGUAGUCCCUGUCUCUUAUAC